GAUGAACGCUGGCGGCGUGCCUAAUACAUGCAAGUCGAGCGAACAGACGAGGAGCUUGCUCCUCUGACGUUAGCGGCGGACGGGUGAGUAACACGUGGAUAACCUACCUAUAAGACUGGGAUAACUUCGGGAAACCGGAGCUAAUACCGGAUAAUAUAUUGAACCGCAUGGUUUAAUAGUGAAAGACGGUUUUGCUGUCACUUAUAGAUGGAUCCGCGCCGCAUUAGCUAGUUGGUAAGGUAACGGCUUACCAAGGCGACGAUGCGUAGCCGACCUGAGAGGGUGAUCGGCCACACUGGAACUGAGACACGGUCCAGACUCCUACGGGAGGCAGCAGUAGGGAAUCUUCCGCAAUGGGCGAAAGCCUGACGGAGCAACGCCGCGUGAGUGAUGAAGGUCUUCGGAUCGUAAAACUCUGUUAUUAGGGAAGAACAAAUGUGUAAGUAACUAUGCACGUCUUGACGGUACCUAAUCAGAAAGCCACGGCUAACUACGUG
rnacentral:rRNA from 1 species